rnacentral:misc_RNA from 1 species
UACAACAUACGACAGCUGAAGUUUGAGGGGGCGACAUCCUUGUACAUCCGCCGUCUGUGUGGGGUGUUCUUCCCAAGUCUGAUGGAGACAGGAAGGGAGUUCCUAAAGGCAUUCCAAGAACACUAUGGCUGCAUGUCAGCAUUUGUUGUGUGGGCCCAAAAUGAACUGCAGUCGUUUGUGGAGACAUUUAGACGACAAGUUUUCGGAGGGAAAUCUAACCUAACAGUGAUGGCAGAUUGUGUCUGCAUCGUGAGGCAGAGUUGUAAAGAGCUUCAGAUGAUUGGUCUGGAUCUUUCUUUUUGUUUUGAAAAUAUGAUCAGUGCUGAUGUUGAAAAGGCAGUGACAGACAAUAAAGAACAAAUCAUAGAAGGAAUUAAAUUUAGAGGAGCGGAAGACAAAUGGAGACCAAUGAACCACAUGAGUGAGAAGGACUGUCACAAGUUUGUGGAGGAAGUAUCGGCUGUAGGACUGGACUUAAAACCUUAUGUCUAUGAUGACUGCUUCAUAUCCCUGACUGUGAACACAGUGAACUUCUGUAAGGCAUGUCUGAGUCUUUCCAGGGAUCUAAUGACCAUGUACACCUCAGAACAGGAAUCUCUCCUCACGUCAGCAAUGUCAGAAAUAUUCCAGGAACAACUUAACCACAUCAGAACAUCACUACAAUCUCCAGAUUUUAACAAAGAGCAUGAUUUCAUUGUGAAAAACGCCCAAUUUAUAGUGGACAUUAUGAUGAAAAAGAUAGAGACUCACUACAAGAGCAAGGGCCUGGCCUUUCCUAAAGACUUAGAGGCGAUAUCUGGGGAAUUCAGAAAAGUCAAAUGACAGUGAUUUAUUCCUUCCUAUAGUCAUUCCACCUGAGGAUCAGUCGACGAACUUUUGAUAACCCAGUUAUGUCACACUGGAAACAUUAUUUUUGAUUUCUGCUGAAUGUGCAAUUCUAUCUGCUUGUGAAUAAAAUAUUACCAUUUG